GGGUUGUGAAAAAAUGACUGAGAACCUGAAAAAGACAUAGACGCAGUAAACCCAUCAGAAUUUGUACGAAAUGUGCUAAAAGACUGUACACUUCUCCCGUUGCUAGGGGAACCAGGAGCCUGUGGUGCAUCUUUAGCAGCCCCAAUGGGUAACAAAACAUUGGGUAAGCUAAGAGAAAGAUCAAGCGGCUCCAACACCAGCUUUUCAUCUUUUGGCUUACUAAC
rnacentral:misc_RNA from 1 species